AAAGUCCCGUCCGGGGAGUUAUCCGUUCACCCCGGUAGCUCAAGGGAGCGGCGUCUUGGUAACAAGGGGUCGUAAGUUUCCAAUUGGCAAACCAGCAGGCCGUAACGCAAGUGAACCUAUAAGUAGCCUCGUUAAACUAAUUUGGAGAUGCCGACCCUGUGGACACAAGGGGAAGGCCGACGCGCAAAGGCAGGGAUAACGGAUGUGGUUUGAGCGAUCUUCCGGGGUAGCAGGGUC
rfam:Syntrophaceae bacterium CG2_30_49_12 cg2_3.0_scaffold_18496_c, whole genome shotgun sequence.